CCUCACCUCUGCCUCAGGAUGGACCUACGAUGGACCUCUAAUGCCCCUGACCUCAGUGUAAAUAAAGACUGCUCAUCUCCAGAAGCAAAACAAUUCCCAAGAUGGCAUUUUAAAAAGGAACAGAGUAGCUUAUGAAAGCAUGUGACAUUCAUCCACAUCAGGACCUCCUGCAAGCCCUCUAGCAAAGACAGACAUACCCGUCUUUGGACUUCAUUGUGCUGGGAGACAGCUCCUUCUCCAGGCCCAGGAAAACAUUUCAGUGAAAGUCAAGCACUGUUUGGCAUUUUUCUUCUGAUUAAAAGUAGAGGAAUGGCAGUGCUCGCUCCUAUCAGCAUGAAACAGAUGUGGUUCUAAGAAACCAGUGUAUGACCCAUGGGACUCAACAACAAGUGUAUAACCCAAACCUCAAAGCCAUAGUCAGUAGAAAUACUUGGCGCUUGUGAUGGAGACACCUGGAAGCUUAUCUACACAACAGGCAUGAAUCAUCUGUUGAUAGAUUAUGAAAGAAGUUAAAGUAACCAGUGCCCAAAAGUUUGUAAGUAUAAGCGUGAAAUUCAGUCAAGCCACUUAAUGUGAAGGCUAAAGAAUGAGUUAGUAAUUCUUAAGAAAAAAUAAAAAUAAACCAGGGCAAAAAGACAAACUUUGUAAGUAAUAACACCUGCAAUUUAGAGAUCCUGAGAUGUAAGUUUCGGCCAUUUAAAACCCUUUCUCCAAAGGGACUGUCUCUAUUCCUAUUAACCCACUUAGUAUAAAGUAUUUGUGAAACAUCCAUAUUGUUGCAGCUGCCAUAAAAUUGAUACACAAACACAAACCCACGCUGUUCAAAGAAUUUUAAUGGCUGGGAUUCCUGGGGGGCCUAGUCGGUUAAGCAUCUGCCUUCGGCUCAGGUCAUGAUCCCA